GGAGUUGUAGGACAUUGAAGAAGCUUGCAUUAUGUAAUUUCACAAAAUCAAAGUGGGUGGAACAAUAUAAUCUGCUCAAGGAUGUAAAAGGUAAAAGUAGUAAUGGAGGGUCAGUAGUUCCGGGAGGACCUAAUGCGAUUGUAUCUGGUAGUUCAACAAGUGUAAAGAGAUCACGUGACGGCCAAUUUCAAAAUUUUCCAGGUUA